UGCGGAAGGAUCAUUACUGAAUUGUCAACACGAGUUGUUGCUGGUCCUCAAAUGGGGGCAUGUGCACGCUCUGUUUACACAUCCACUCACACCUGUGCACCCUCCGUAGUUCUGUAGCCUGGGGGCUCUGUUCCCCCUGCUGUGGUCCUGCGUAUUUACACACACACACUGUAACAAAGUCUCAUGGAAUGUAUAUCGCGUUUAACGCAAUACAAUACAACUUUCAGCAACGGAUCUCUUGGCUCUCGCAUCGAUGAAGAACGCAGCGAAAUGCGAUAAGUAAUGUGAAUUGCAGAAUUCAGUGAAUCAUCGAAUCUUUGAACGCACCUUGCGCCCUUUGGCUAUUCCGAAGGGCAUGCCUGUUUGAGUAUCAUGAACACCUCAACUCUCAUGGCCUGCCAUGAUGAGCUUGGACUAUGGGGGUCUUGCUGGCCUAUGGGUCGGCUCCUCUCAAACAAAUCAGCUUGCCAGUGUUUGGUGGCAUCACAGGUGUGAUAACUAUCUACGCUUGUGGUUUACCAUCAGAUAACCUUCAGCAAUGGAGGUUCACUGGGGCUCAUAAAUGUCUCUCCUCAGUGAGGACAGCCCUUUGAAUGUUUGAUCUCAAAUCAGGCAGGACUACCCGCUGAACUUAAGCAUAUCAAUAAGCCGGAGGA
rnacentral:rRNA from 1 species